rnacentral:rRNA from 1 species
GAUCAAAUUAAAGCUUUAUAUUAAGUUUUUUAUUUACAUUAAAAAGAUUACUGUUUAAUUCAGUAUAAUUUGAUUAUGAAUUAAUUUAUUUAUUUAUUUUAUUAAAAUUAUUUUUGUUUUAUUAUUUAAAUAGAAAAAUUUAUUUUUAUUAUAGUUUAUUAGUAAAGUGAUUGAAUAUUUUUAUAUUUUAUAAAGAAAAAUUUAUUUUUUGUACCUUGUGCAUCAGGGUUGAUUAAUUAUAUAAUUAAUAUUAAUUUUUCUCGAAUUAAAAAGUUCUAAUUAAAUAUUAUAUAAUUAUUUCAUAAAUUUUUAUAAUUUUUAGUUAGUAAUGAAACGUUAUUCGUUUUUUAAUAUAUCUAGUUUUUUAAGAAAAGAAUUUAAUUCUUUUAUUAUUUAUUUAUUAAUUAAUUUUUUAAUUAAUAAUUUUUAUUAAAAAAUAUUUAAAGGGAUGAUCUUUUAUUUAUAAUAUUAAAAAUUUAUUUUUUUUAUAAUUAUUGUAUAAUUUGAAUUGUUAAUCAUAUGAAUAAUUUAAUAAUUAAUUUUAUUUAAUUUAAUAUUUAUAUUUAUUUUAGUUUUUAUAUUAAAAAAAAAAGUUUAAUUUUAUUUCUUUUGUUAUAAUGAUUAAAUUAGUAGAUAUUUUUGUAUUAAAAUUUAAUGUUUUUUAGGUAAUAAAAAGGAACUCGGCAAAUUUAUUUUUCGCCUGUUUAUUAAAAACAUGUCUUUUUGAUUAUAAUUUAAGGUUUAAUCUGCUCAAUGAUUAUUUAAAUUGCCGCAGUAUUUUGACUGUGCAAAGGUAGCAUAAUAAUUAGUUUCUUAAUUGGGAACUGGAAUGAAUGAUUGGACGAGAAAAUUUCUGUCUCUUUAUUAUUUUAAUUGAAUUUUACUUUUAAGUUAAAAGGCUUAAAUUUAUUUAGAGGACGAGAAGACCCUAUAGAGUUUAAUUUUUAUUUGGUUAAUUAUUUUUAGUAUUUAUAUAUAUUAUUCAAGUAAAAAUUUAGUUGGGGUGACUAAAAGAUAAAAAUAACUCUUUUAAUUUUUAUCAAUUAUUUUUGAUUACAAAAUCUUUAUUUUUAAUUUUAAAAUAAAUUACCUUAGGGAUAACAGCGUAAUUUUUUUUUAAAGUUCUUAUUGAAAAAAAAGUUUGCGACCUCGAUGUUGGAUUAAAAUUUAUUUUGGGUGUAGAAGCUUGAAUAUUAAGUCUGUUCGACUUUUAAAAUUUUACAUGAUCUGAGUUUAAACCGGUGUGAGCCAGGUUGGUUUCUAUCCUUAAUUAUUUAUUAUACUUUAGUACGAAAGGACCAAGUAUAUAAUUUAUAAUUUUUAGUUGAAUAUUAUUAUUACUUUGGCAGAAUAGUGCAAUAGAUUUAGAAUCUUUAUA